AGCUUUGCGCAGUGGCAGUAUCGUAGCCAAUGAGGUUUAUCCGAGGCACGAUUAUUGCUAAUUGAAAACUUUUCCCAAUACCCCGCCGUGACAACUUGAAAUAUAGUUGGCACUGGCAAUUUUUGACAGUCUCUAUGGAGA
rnacentral:snRNA from 12 species